UCUUCAUCAGUUCAAAUCUGAUUCAAUUCAU
rnacentral:tRNA from 2 species